rnacentral:misc_RNA from 1 species
UAAUAAGUGUUUUAUGGCACUUUUUAAAUCCAUAUCCACCUUGUGUGCAAUGUCGGUCGAUCUUCUGUUUUUGAGGAUCGACCAAACAUCAACCUUUAUUUUUUAACUCUUUGUCUGGAAAAUAUUAUGAAUAAACAAUUCAAAAUA